rnacentral:rRNA from 1 species
GCUACGAUCAGUAGGGGUUCUGAGAGGAAGGUCCCCCACAUUGGAACUGAGACACGGUCCAAACUCCUACGGGAGGCAGCAGUGAGGAAUAUUGGUCAAUGGACGGGAGUCUGAACCAGCCAAGUAGCGUGCAGGACGACGGCCCUAUGGGUUGUAAACUGCUUUUAUAGGGGGAUAAAGUGUGCCACGUGUGGCAUAUUGCAGGUACCCUAUGAAUAAGGACCGGCUAAUUCCGUGCCAGCAGCCGCGGUAAUACGGAAGGUCCGGGCGUUAUCCGGAUUUAUUGGGUUUAAAGGGAGCGUAGGCCGUCUUAUAAGCGUGUUGUGAAAUGUCGGGGCUCAACCUGGGCAUUGCAGCGCGAACUGUGAGACUUGAGUGCGCAGGAAGUAGGCGGAAUUCGUCGUGUAGCGGUGAAAUGCUUAGAUAUGACGAAGAACUCCGAUUGCGAAGGCAGCCUGCUGUAGCGCAACUGACGCUGAAGCUCGAAAGCGUGGGUAUCGAACAGGAUUAGAUACCCUGGUAGUCCACGCGGUAAACGAUGGAUGCUCGCUGUUUGCGUCUGACGUAAGCGGCCAAGCGAAAGCGUUAAGCAUCCCACCUGGGGAGUACGCCGGCAACGGUGAAACUCAAAGGAAUUGACGGGGGCCCGCACAAGCGGAGGAACAUGUGGUUUAAUUCGAUGAUACGCGAGGAACCUUACCCGGGCUUGAACUGUAGGCGAACGAUUCAGAGAUGAAGAGGCCCUUCGGGGCGCCUAUGGAGGUGCUGCAUGGUUGUCGUCAGCUCGUGCCGUGAGGUGUCGGCUUAAGUGCCAUAACGAGCGCAACCCUUGUUCGUAGUUGCCAUCGGGUUAUGCCGGGCACUCUGCGAAGACUGCCUCCGUAAGGAGUGAGGAAGGUGGGGAUGACGUCAAAUCAGCACGGCCCUUACGUCCGGGGCUACACACGUGUUACAAUGGCAUGUACAGAAAGCUGGGUGUAUGCAAAUACGCUCGAAUCCCUAAAACAUGUCUCAGUUCGGACUGGGGUCUGCAACCCGACCCCACGAAGCUGGAUUCGCUAGUAAUCGCGCAUCAGCCAUGGCGCGGUGAAUACGUUCCCGGGCCUUGUACACACCGCCCGUCAAGCCAUGAAAGCCGGGGGCGCCUAAAGUCCGUGACCGCGAGGGUCGGCCUAGGGUGAAACCGGUGAUUGGGGCUAAGUCGUAACAAGGUA